UACGGGCAUUGGCAGCCGCGGGCGGCUGCUGCUGCUGCUGCUGCUGCUGCUGCUGGGGCUUCAGCGACAUGGUGGAGAGAUGAACACGCGAGGAUGACCCCCGCAGUGCUGUUUGGAACAGAGAACAGAAGCCCCAUCAGCAGGGAGCAGUCAGAUGCCUCAUAGAGUAUCCUAAAUGCAGCGGAAGAUGCGAUAUUCUCAGCUGUGCAGUGAGAAAGAGGCAGAGCUUCACACUGAUCCAAAAGGAUCUUUAAAACCUGUUGUUUAAAAAAAGAAAAAAACAAAACAGUAUUCAGAAGAAAGCUGAGAAACCUACCUUAACAAUCUGAUGACUUCCAAACCUCCAGAUUCUUGGUCAUCUCACUCAAGACUGCUAGAAGCAUCCUGAAGAAAACAGCACCAUGUGUAUUUUCUGCAAAGCUGGUUUUGAUGAUUAAUCUUAUGUGUCAGCUUGACUGGGCAAUGGGAUGCCCAGAUAUAUCUGGUUAAACAUUAUUUCUGGGGUGUGUCUGGGAGGGGGUUUCCAGAAAAGAUUACCACUUGAGUUGGUAGAUUGAGUAAAGCAGAUUGUCCUCUCCAUUGUGUGUGGGCAUCAUCCAGUUCACUGAGGACUGAGAACAAACAUGCAGAAGAAGGGAGAAUCCUCUGGUUGACCAGUUGAGCUGGGUCCUCGGUCUUCUGCCCUCAGACUGGCACUUAACAUCAUCAGUGCUCCUUGUUCUCAGGCAUUCAGACUUGAAAUUGAAUUACACCGCCAGCUUUCCUGGGUCUCCAACUUGCAGAUGGCAGAUUGUGGGACUUUUUAGCCUUUAUAAUUACAUAAGCCAAUUCCUUAUAAUAAAUGUCUCUACAUACGGAUAGACGUAUCUCUUGUUGGUUCUGUUUCUCUGGACCCUAGCUA